AUUAGUCCACACCCUCAUCCCGGCGUGCACCACCACUUAUUUUUAUAUACCCACACGCUCAGCACACACGCCAAAUCGUGGUUUGUGUCCUCCAUUGCAGCUCCAUUCGCUUCUUUGAUGCUUGAGAGGGUUGAUCAUUGUGUUGCUGCUAUGUCAGGAGCGGUAAUAAUAGGAGUGUGUCUAAUAUCGUGUGGCUUCACCUACAUCAUCACUGCUUUCGGUAUCCUUCUUACACUUACAGAUAAUAAAAAAACGGAGCCAUCCAUUGUGUAUGCAAUCGGAAGUUUGAAGCAAACCAAGUAAGAGAUCAAAAAUCGAAGGAAAGGAGAUAUCAGAGAAGCGUUUUGUGAAAGGACUUGUCAGGCGAUUGAUACGACAGUUAAGUCCAUUUCUUCAGAUCACAGUUACCAAAGUCACAGUGCUUCAUAACCAAACGACAGUUCUCAGAUCUGACAACUUGUCAGACAUAUAUGUUGAUGAAACACUCGGCAGAAGAAACAACAAAAGCACAUUCACUGUUUCAUGCGGACAGGAGGUUCAUGCUAUGUUAUGCUUUUUGAAAGGGCGGGGGGGGGGGGGAGUCUGCAGCCCAUAGCCACCAAUUCUGGAGCCCCCUAUGGUACUCUAUAUCAAUCCGAAUGUUUUUUUUUUAAUAAGAAUAGUCGAAUGCGUCUUUAAUGAGAUCUGGAUCCAAGGUUCCCGCCCCCAUAUUUUUUAAACCAAAUAAUGAGAAGGAAACAAGUUUAAAAGGGGUAAGAAAAAUAAAGGCACAAAGGACACAGGUCUGCGUCGUCUUUAUGCUAUUCAACAUGACGUCAUCUUUAGUUAACUUUGUCGCCCUUCUGGCACCACCCCCAGAAUGUUUUAAAGAUCAUGUAUGUUCGAUCUCCUUUUUAUCAUUACAAACACAACUAUUACGUUCAUGGUGAAACAAGCGUUGCUGAUUCCAGUAAUCAUGAAGACUUUGGUGUAGGACUGUGAGAAGUCAAGUAAUGCCCCUGCAAGACAAAGUGGAUAAAUGAAAUCGAUUGUCAUAACUGUUGAAUAAAAUUAUAAUACUUAUAAACAA